UUUAAACCAGUUUGUUGUUAUUUCACAGCUCAGCUUCAUCUCUGUUCACUUUUUUAUAAAAACAGAAUGAAUGAAUGAAUAACUGGAUCUCUGACUGUGGGUCUCCUCACUGCUCCUCUAGCGCCACCAGCAGGUUCACAUGUGGGAAUUUCAGUGAAAACAAAUAUUGGAUGGAUCGACGCAAGUCACAUAGACUUUGUUGCUCUUUACACUACGUCGCCUGAUGUGGACGGAUUACACUGGAGUUAGAAGAAAGGCUGGUGUGUCUCAUACAGGCACUAAAGGAGGUGUCAGCAUGCAACCCUGUCGUCAUGACGACUGCUAAGUAAACUGCCUCUUCUUCCACUGUGGCUAACGGACCACAGGUCACCAUGGCAACGGUAAACAUCCAGGAGGCCGGGGGGUUGACGUGGCGACCUAAAAGUGUGCUUAUGCGAAGAGGAACACAGAGGUUUGAUCCCUGCAGCAGUAAAGAGAUUACAACUGAGAAAAAUAAAGAACAUGAGGAGAUCUGAUUAGUAAUUUUACAUUAAAUGAAACCCCAAAUGAACUAAUAAUAGUCUAAAUUUAAUUACAAAAAAAAACAAAGAAAUGUUAGAUUAACUUAGAGAAAUAC